AUGUGAAUGCGCCGAGCCUUCAGAGCGGCUCCAGGUCUGUGAGAAUGACACGCCUGGACAGAGGGCAGGGGAGCUGAGCGCACAGUGGCGAAUCCAGGCUGUGGAGCACGUGGGCUUAACCCCAGGGUGGUGGGGCCAGCACUGCUCUCUGGCCUGCUGCACAUCCCCUCCCCAGGGUGCUGUUGGGGUCCUGGGGAUGAGGGGACAGGUCAGCCUGGCCUGG